GCAAUGCCAGAAAUGAGAAAAUAAGCCAUUCUUUGUCCUCUGUGGAUGCGUUCCUGUUGGUCCGUUACACCAAUCGCACAUCACGCAAACAGCGUCGAAUACAAUGCGGCGCUGAAGCCACCAGCUCUUCACAGCUCUUCGGAGAAUAUCCUUCAGCUUUUUGCCGUUUACUGCUGAGCACACACAUCGGGCCAGAACGAGAAGCAGCGAAGGAAAGGGGCGGGGAGAUGAUCUUUCACGUCUGACAGUCUCCUCAGAGUUGGAGCUCGUGUUUUGGAUCCCCCCUCUCACAUGGAUGAGUCUCCCUGCCCCGGCCUCUUCUUGCAAAACCACGUCUCGCAAGACCGCGCCGACAUUUCUAGCGAGAGGACGCAGGAAAAUGUGUGUAAAAUCAAUCUGCCGAAUUUAUGGCUCGAUUGUUUGCUCUUUCAAGGCAAGGUUGAUUUGAAUUGGAAAAUCUUAUAUAAAUCAGCCUUACAAAUUAAUAUGGCAAAUAAAUUGAUUAAUGAAUGUAAACUGUACAGAAAAUUGUGAAAAUGUCCUUUACAUUUCUCAAGAGUGACAUUAUUUGUGUGCUUUAAAUCAACCCAGAUG